GUUCUCGUUAGAUCACUCGUUAAGUUAAGUAUCAUUGGGCGCGGUCAGUACUUGGGUGGGUGACCACCUGGGAACACUGCGUGCCGUU
rnacentral:rRNA from 1 species